AUAUAUAUAUAAUUGAGCUCCUAUGCUUUUAAAAGUACCAAGUCAUUAGUGCUUGUAAGUUUUCGGCCCUUGGAUUAAAGGAUGUACGGUUAGGAUGAUGUGGGCCCCUUAGGGUUGAGUGGGUGGUUAGUUGAAUAGUAUAAUCUAACGGGUAAAAAUGAUCAAAGGUAUAGAUUUAACGGUAAAAAAUAUGAGUGAUAGAGAGAAAAAGGUGGACGAGGUGGAGCAGACCUUGU
rnacentral:lncRNA from 1 species